rnacentral:rRNA from 1 species
GGUUUUAAAAUAUAAAGAAUAAAAUUCUUUAAAUAAAACUAAAAGGACGCGGUAACCUUGACCGUGAUAAUGUAGCAUAAUCACUCGCCAUUUAAUUGAUGGAUAGUAUGAAUGGUUGAACGAAUAUUCCACUGUCUUAAAAAAAAUCAAAUAAAAUUAAAAUAAUAGUUAAGAUGCUAUUUUAAACUGUAAGACGAAAAGACCCUAUAGAGCUUGACUAUAAUCUUCUUUUAAUAAUAAAAAUAAAAUUUUUAUGCUAAAGAAGAUUGGUAGUUUAGUUGGGGCGACUACCUUCUACAUAAAACGAAGGUAAGCAAAGUUAAUUAAAAACUUAUUAUAUAAAUAAAAUAUUUAAUAAUUACAAAAGUAGGCUAUAGUGACCCGUUAGCAUUUAAUAAAAAAGCUAACGAUCAAUUAAUAAAAGCUACCUUAGGGAUAACAGGAUAAUUUCAUCUUAGAGUUCCCAUCGAAGAUGAAGUUUGUCACCUCUAUGUUGAAUUAA